GAUGAAGAAGCAGCGAAAUGCGAUAAGUAGUGUGAAUUGCAGAAUUCAGUGAAUCAUCGAAUCUUUGAACGCACAUUGCGCCUCCUGGCAUUCCGGGAGGCAUGCCUGUUCGAGCGUCAUCAAACCCCAUCGUGCAAAUGAAUUAUUUUUUUUGCGCGGAAGUGACGAUUGAGCGAGAAUAACAAAUCCUCUCGCACCUCGUCGAAAUGAUUGCGGGCGGAAUUUGGGAUCGGGUUCCUCGGCGUAGUGUAUCAAUGCAUAUUUAUGCAACUUGCCGCGGAGUUGAGCCUGACCCACGCGUUCUCGCCGUACAAACACCUCAUUACUUUACAAGUUUUUGACCUCGGAUCAGGUAGGGAUACCCGCUGAACUUAAGCAUAUCAAUAAGCGGAGGA
rnacentral:misc_RNA from 1 species